rnacentral:rRNA from 1 species
GAAUGCUGACAUAAGUAACGAUAAAGCGGGUGAAAAGCCCGCUCGCCGGAAGACCAAGGGUUCCUGUCCAACGUUAAUCGGGGCAGGGUGAGUCGACCCCUAAGGCGAGGCCGAAAGGCGUAGUCGAUGGGAAACAGGUUAAUAUUCCUGUACUUGGUGUUACUGCGAAGGGGGGACGGAGAAGGCUAUGUUGGCCGGGCGACGGUUGUCCCGGUUUAAGCGUGUAGGCUGGUUUUCCAGGCAAAUCCGGAAAACCAAGGCUGAGGCGUGAUGACGAGGCACUACGGUGCUGAAGCGACAAAUGCCCUGCUUCCAGGAAAA